rnacentral:rRNA from 1 species
UGGGGAAUAUUGGACAAUGGGCGAAAGCCUGAUCCAGCCAUGCCGCGUGUGUGAAGAAGGUCUUCGGAUUGUAAAGCACUUUAAGUUGGGAGGAAGGGCAGUUACCUAAUACGUGAUUGUUUUGACGUUACCGACAGAAUAAGCACCGGCUAACUCUGUGCCAGUAGCCGCGGUAAUACAGAGGGUGCAAGCGUUAAUCGGAAUUACUGGGCGUAAAGCGCGCGUAGGUGGUUAGUUAAGUUGGAUGUGAAAUCCCCGGGCUCAACCUGGGAACUGCAUUCAAAACUGACUGACUAGAGUAUGGUAGAGGGUGGUGGAAUUUCCUGUGUAGCGGUGAAAUGCGUAGAUAUAGGAAGGAACACCAGUGGCGAAGGCGACCACUUGGACUGAUACUGACACUGAGGUGCGAAAGCGUGGGGAGCAAACAGGAUUAGAUACCCCCGUAGUCCCUGAGCGGGCUGGCAAGGCGCAU